rnacentral:rRNA from 1 species
UGGGGAAUAUUGGACAAUGGGCGAAAGCCUGAUCCAGCCAUGCCGCGUGUGUGAAGAAGGUCUUCGGAUUGUAAAGCACUUUAAGUUGGGAGGAAGGGCAUUAACCUAAUACGUUAGUGUUUUGACGUUACCGACAGAAUAAGCACCGGCUAACUCUGUGCCAGCAGCCGCGGUAAUACACAGGGUGCAAGCGUUAAUCGGAAUUACUGGGCGUAAAGCGCGCGUAGGUGGUUUGUUAAGUUGGAUGUGAAAUCCCCGGGCUCAACCUGGGAACUGCAUUCAAAACUGACUGACUAGAGUAUGGUAGAGGGUGGUGGAAUUUCCUGUGUAGCGGUGAAAUGCGUAGAUAUAGGAAGGAACACCAGUGGCGAAGGCGACCACCUGGACUAAUACUGACACUGAGGUGCGAAAGCGUGGGGAGCAAACA